AGUGAACGCUGGCGGUAGGCCUAACACACGCAAGUCGAACGGCAGCACAGUAAGAGCUUGCUCUUACGGGUGGCGAGUGGCGGACGGGUGAGGAAUACAUCGGAAUCUACUUUUUCGUGGGGGAUAACGUAGGGAAACUUACGCUACUACCGCAUACGACCUACGGGUGAAAGCAGGGGAUCUUCGGACCUUGCGCGAUUGAAUGAGCCGAUGUCGGAUUAGCUAGUUGGCGGGGUAAAGGCCCACCAAGGCGACGAUCCGUAGCUGGUCUGAGAGGAUGAUCAGCCACACUGGAACUGAGACACGGUCCAGACUCCUACGGGAGGCAGCAGUGGGGAAUAUUGGACAAUGGGCGCAAGCCUGAUCCAGCCAUACCGCGUGGGUGAAGAAGGCCUUCGGGUUGUAAAGCCCUUUUGUUGGGAAAGAAAAGCAGCAGGUUAAUACCCCGCUGUUCUGACGGUACCCAAAGAAUAAGCACCGGCUAACUUCGUG
rnacentral:rRNA from 1 species